rnacentral:rRNA from 1 species
GACGAACGCUGGCGGCGUGCUUAACACAUGCAAGUCGAACGAUGAAGCCGGAGCUUGCUCUGGUGAAUUAGUGGCGAACGGGUGAGUAACACGUGAGUAACCUGCCCUUGACUCUGGGAUAACUGCGGGAAACUGUAGCUAAUACCGGAUACGACCCUCGGAGGCAUCUCCUGGGGGUGGAAAGAAUUUCGGUCAAGGAUGGACUCGCGGCCUAUCAGCUAGUUGGUGAGGUAAAGGCUCACCAAGGCGACGACGGGUAGCCGGCCUGAGAGGGGGACCGGCCACACUGGGACUGAGACACGGCUCAGACUCCUACGGGAGGCAGCAGUGGGGAAUAUUGCACAAUGGGCGCAAGCCUGAUGCAGCAACGCCGCGUGAGUGAUGACGGCCUUCGGGUUGUAAACCUCUUUUAGCAGGGAAGAAGCGAAAGUGACGGUACCUGCAGAAAAAGCACCGGCUAACUACGUGCCAGCCGCCGCCGUAA